rnacentral:misc_RNA from 1 species
AACCUUAUGGACCUGCGGGCGUAUACCUGCGGAGGGAUCAUUACUGAGUGAGGGCCUUCGGGCUCGACCUCCAACCCUUUGUGAACACAACUUGUUGCUUCGGGGGCGACCCUGCCGUUUCGACGGCGAGCGCCCCCGGAGGCCUUCAAACACUGCAUCUUUGCGUCGGAGUUUAAGUAAAUUAAACAAAACUUUCAACAACGGAUCU